UACGUAGGGUGCAAGCGUUUAAUCGGAAUUACUGGGCGUAAAGCGUGCGCAGGCGGUUAUAUAAGACAGUUGUGAAAUCCCCGGGCUCAACCUGGGAACUGCAUCUGUGACUGUAUAGCUAGAGUACGGUAGAGGGGGAUGGAAUUCCGCGUGUAGCAGUGAAAUGCGUAGAUAUGCGGGAGGAACACCGAUGGCGAAGGCAAUCCCCUGGACCUGUACUGACGCUCAUGCACGAAAGGCGUGGGGAG
rnacentral:rRNA from 1 species